CCUACGGGUGGCAGCAGUGGGGAAUAUUGGGCAAUGGGCGCAAGCCUGACCCAGCAACGCCGCGUGAAGGAAGAAGGCUUUCGGGUUGUAAACUUCUUUUCUCAGGGACGAAGCAAGUGACGGUACCUGAGGAAUAAGCCUCGGCUAACUACGUGCCAGCAGCCGCGGUAAUACGUAGGUGGCAAGCGUUAUCCGGAUUUACUGGGUGUAAAGGGCGCGUAGGCGGGAAAGCAAGUCGGAUGUGAAAACCAGGGGCUCAACCUGUGGCCUGCAUUGGAAACUGUUUUUCUUGAGUGCUGGAGAGGCAGGCGGAAUUCCUAGUGUAGCGGUGAAAUGCGUAGAUAUUAGGAGGAACACCAGUGGCGAAGGCGGUCUGCGGGACAGCAACUGACGCUGAGGCGCGAAAGCGUGGGGAGCAAACAGGAUUAGAUACCCUUGUAGUC
rnacentral:rRNA from 1 species